rnacentral:rRNA from 1 species
UGGGGAAUAUUGGACAAUGGGCGAAAGCCUGAUCCAGCAACGCCGCGUGAGGGAUGACGGCCUUCGGGUUGUAAACCUCUUUCAGCAGGGACGAAGCGAAAGUGACGGUACCUGCAAAAGAAGCACCGGCCAACUACGUGCCAGCAGCCGCGGUAAUACGUAGGGUGCGAGCGUUGUCCGGAAUUAUUGGGCGUAAAGGGCUCGUAGGCGGUUUGUCACGUCGGGAGUGAAAACUCGGGGCUCAACCCCGAGCUUGCUUCCGAUACGGGCUAACUAGAGGUAUGCAGGGGAGAACGGAAUUCCUGGUGUAGCGGUGAAAUGCGCAGAUAUCAGGAGGAACACCGGUGGCGAAGGCGGUUCUCUGGGCAUUACCUGACGCUGAGGAGCGAAAGUGUGGGGAGCGAACA